rnacentral:lncRNA from 1 species
UAAAACUGUUGUUGUCAAACCUUGUCCUCCCAGCUAUAUUGGUGUAGGUCUCACACUCUGUUGGUAUUGAUGGAGGGUAAUGGUAUCAGUCUGCAGGUAUUGAUGGCUGGUAUAGGUCUCACUCUCUGCUGGUAUUGAUGGAUGGUAUAGGUCUCACACUCUACUGGUAUUGAUGGAUGGUAUAGGUCUCACUCUCUGCUGGUAUUGAUGGAUGGCAUAGGUCUCACUCUGCUGGUAUUGAUGGCUGGUAUAGGUCUCACUCUGCUGGUAUUGAUGGGUGGUAUAGGUCUCACACUCUGCUGGUAUUGAUGGAUGUUAUUAGUCUCACACUCUGCUGGUAUUGAUGACUGGUAUAGGUCUCACACUCUGCUGGUAUUGAUGGAUGGUAUUGGUCUCACUCCACUGGUAUUGAUGGAUGUAUAGGUCUCACACUCUGAUGGUAUUGAUCGAUGGUAUUGGUCUCACUCCACUGGUAUUGAUGGAUGGUAUAGGUCUCACACUCUGAUGGUAUUGAUGGUUGGUAUAGGUCUCACUCUGCUGGUAUUGAUGGAUGGUAUUGGUCUCACUCCACUGGUAUUGAUGGAUGGUAUAGGUCUCACUCUCUGCUGGUAUUGAUGGAUGGUAUAGGUCUCACACUCUGCUGGUAUUGAUGGAUGGUAUAGGUCUCACACUCUGAUGGUAUUGAUGGAUGGUAUAGGUCUCACUCUGCUGGUAUUGAUGGGUGGUAUAGGUCUCACACUCUGAUGGUAUUGAUGGAUGGUAUAGGUCUCACACUCUGCUGGUAUUGAUGGAUGGUAUAGGUCUCACACUCUGAUGGUAUUGAUGGAUGGUAUUGGUCUCACUCCACUGGUAUUGAUGGAUGGUAUAGGUCUCACACUCUGAUGGUAUUGAUGGUUGGUAUAGGUCUCACUCUGCUGGUAUUGAUGGAUGGUAUUGGUCUCACUCCACUGGUAUUGAUGGAUGGUAUAGGUCUCACACUCUGAUGGUAUUGAUGGAUGGUAUAGGUCUCACUCUGCUGGUAUUGAUGGAUGGUAUUGGUCUCACUCCACUGGUAUUGAUGGAUGGUAUAGGUCUCACACUCUGAUGGUAUUGAUGGUAUAGGUCUCACUGUUAGAUGGUAUAGGUC